rnacentral:rRNA from 1 species
AAUCAACGCUGGCGGCGUGCCUCAGACAUGCAAGUCGAACGAUUAAAGCUCCCUUCGGGGAGUGCAUAAAGUGGCGCACGGGUGAGUAACACGUAAGUAAUCUACCCUCGAGUGGGGAAUAACAAUCGGAAACGGUUGCUAAUACCGCAUAAUGCAGCGGCAUCGCAAGAUGACAGUUGUUAAAGGAGUAAUUCGCUUGAGGAGGAGCUUGCGGCAGAUUAGCUAGUUGGUAAGGUAACGGCUUACCAAGGCUACGAUCUGUAUCCGGUCUAAGAGGACGGUCGGACACACUGACACUGAAUAACGGGUCAGACUCCUACGGGAGGCAGCAGUCGGGAAUUUUGGGCAAUGGGCGAAAGCCUGACCCAGCAACGCCGCGUGAAGGAUGAAGUAUUUCGGUAUGUAAACUUCGAAAGAAUAGGAAGAAUAAAUGACGGUACUAUUUAUAAGCUCCGGCUAACUACGUGCCAGCA